ensembl:lincRNA uncharacterized LOC102019366
GGAGAGACAGAUGAGAGGAGUCUGCCUCAUUUGCCCAAGACAAACCACAACAACAUAAUGAAGGCCAGCCUAACUAGUCUCAUUUUCAAUGGGGUGCUCGCUACACUACUCAAGAUUAAAAUAGAGAGCCAAAAGAAGGAAUUAUGAAAUCAGGACAAACUAAAGUGAAUGUAGACAAUAAGGCAAGGACCAAGGAAAGCCCGGACACCAGUUUUAUUGCAUGCACUGGAUGACAUCGAGCUGUGGAACUCCCAGGCCCUCCCCACAGACACAUUCACCAUUUGUUUCACAACUGGAGGACCAGUGCUCUGCAUCACUCUGAUACCCAAGGAUCCUUGCGACAGAAUUCAGACAGAGGAUGUGUGUCACAAGCAAACAAGCCCAAGAAUGGGCCGACUGCUCCCGGGAGGCUGUCUGGUUAUAGCAUCCUGAGCUGCGUAUGGCUGAGAUUUCCCUUGCUCUGUGUUAAAGGGGUUAUUAAAAAAUAUGGCCUGUGUAGUAGGGGCCUCAGAGCACAGCGAAUGUCAUGUGUCCUGCAACACCCAGGUGAAAUGGAAGUCUUUCUGUGGUCCGUAUGUGCUGGCCUCCUCAAAGUUUGGAAAGAACAGGUCUCUGAGGAUGGUUGAGAAGAAUGAAAAAAAAAAAACAAAACAUCAGCUCUAGAAAAUGUCCCUUUAUGCCCUAAAUGACCUUAUGGAAAUGACGAAAUAGCUCUCGAGAGUAUCAUUUGCUGGUUUUCUUUUUUUUCUCCUAACCUCUUUGCAUUAAACUAACGCU